AUGCACGCUGGCGGCGUGCCUCAUCCAUGCCAGUCGAGCGAACAGACGAGGAGCUUGCUCCUCUGACGUUAGCGGCGGACGGGUGAGUAACACGUGGAUAACCUACCUAUAAGACUGGGAUAACUUCGGGAAACCGGAGCUAAUACCGGAUAAUAUAUUGAACCGCAUGGUUCAAUAGUGAAAGACGGUUUUGCUGUCACUUAUAGAUGGAUCCGCGCCGCAUUAGCUAGUUGGUAAGGUAACGGCUUACCAAGGCAACGAUGCGUAGCCGACCUGAGAGGGUGAUCGGCCACACUGGAACUGAGACACGGACCAGACUCCUACGGGAGGCAGCAGUAGGGAAUCUUCCGCAAUGGGCGAAAGCUUGACGGAGCAACGCCGCGUGAGUGAUGAAGGUCUUCGGAUCGUAAAACUCUGUUAUUAGGGAAGAACAAAUGUGUAAGUAACUAUGCACGUCUUGACGGUACCUAAUCAGAAAGCCACGGCUAACUACGUG
rnacentral:rRNA from 1 species